rnacentral:rRNA from 1 species
AAUUUUUGACAAUGGGGGAAACCCUGAUCCAGCCAUCCCGCGUGUAUGAUGAAGGCCUUCGGGUUGUAAAGUACUUUUGGCAGAGAAGAAUAGGUAUCUCCUAAUACGGGAUACUGCUGACGGUAUCUGCAGAAUAAGCACCGGCUAACUACAUGCCAGCAGCCGUGGUAAUACGUAGGGUGCAAGCGUGAAUCGGAAUGACUGGGCGUAAAGCGUGAGUAGGCGGAGCGGAAAGAAAGAUGUGAAUGCCAAGGGCUCAACCUUGAAACUGCAUUUGUAACUGCAGAGCUAGAGUAUGUCAGAGGGGGGUAGAAUUCCAAGUGUAGCAGUGAAAUGCGUAGAUAUGUGGAGGAAUACCGAUGGCGAAGGCAACCCCCUCGGAUAAUACUGACGCUCAGACACGAAAGCGUAAGGAGCAAACAGA